rnacentral:sRNA from 1 species
CCCUAGCCCAGAUUGAAACGGCAUCCUUUCCUUGCUUCCUUUAAGCAAGGAAAGAUAUAGUGAAAAGCUGGAAAUAGC